rnacentral:lncRNA from 8 species
AAACUAGACGUUUAACUGAUGUCUGUACCCAGUGGGAUGUAGGUCUAGAUUAUUUAUGGGAUGAUCAUAUAGAAAUAUAAAAACUUUAUUUCAACAACUUCAGAAGCAAUUGCCUGUCUAUGGUGCAGGAGGCACUGAAUCGCUGCGUUUUUCCAUGAUCAACACACCUGCUGGUAACUCUUAAGUGGUUAGGACAGCUCACGAGGUCCCCUAAAUACCUGUCGACUGAGUGGGACUCUUAUGACUAAAGAGGCUUCAAGCGUAGCUUUUAUUUUCACCAAUAAGAGUAGGGCUAAAAUGUCUAUAUUCUCAGCACCAAUGUUCUACUCUAAGAUGCUUGGUAAAUGCAGCCCCUGACGUCCGAAAACGGCUUCCUUCCUGCAGGGGAGCAGGAGAGAAGGACAGCUGAGAGGCGUGGAGGAGCUGGUGACUCCAUAGAUUUGGAGGUACAUUCCAGACAGAAUUUUCUCUAUUCUUCAUUUAGAUUUUGGUUCUACUUUAACGUUACAAUGCUGCAUCGAUCCACCCGUUGCAUGGGCCACACAGUCUACGUACAGUGCCUUCAGAAAGUAUUCACACCCCUCGACUUUCCCCACAUUUUGUUGUGUUACAAAGUGGGAUUCAAAUGUAUUUAAUUGUCCAUUUCUGUCAACAAUUUACACAAAAUACUCUGUAAUAUCAAAGUGGAAGAAAAAUUCUAACAUUUGUAUAAAAGAAUAUAUGAAAAAUAAAAUGGUAAUAUAUCUUGAUUACGUAAGUAUUCAACCCACUGAGUCAAUACAUUAGAAUCACCUUUGGCAGCGAUUACAGCUGGAUGUAUUUCUGGGUAAGUUUCUAAGAGUUUUGCACACCUGGAUUGUACAAUAUUUGCACUUUAUUCUUAAAAAAAUUAUUCUAGUGCUGUCAAGUUGGUUGUUGAUCAUUGCUUGACAGCCAUUUUCAAACCUUGACAUAGAUUUUCAAGCUGAUAACCAGGCCACUCAGAAACAUUCAAUGUCGUCUUGAUCAGAAACUCCUGUGUAUAUUUAGCCAUGUGUUUUAGGUUAUUGUCCUGCUGAAAGGUGAAUUUGUAUCCAAGCAGACUGAACCAGCCUUUCCUCUAGGAUUCUGCCUGUGCUUAGCUGUUUCCAUAAAAUAUUUUUGCUAAUGAGAAGCAUACCAAUAACAUGAUGCAGCCACCACCAUGCUUGAAAAUAUAAAGAGUGGUACUCAGUGAUGUGUUGUGUUGGAUUUGCCCCAAACAUAAUGAUUUGUAUUCAGGACACAUUUUUUGCAGUUUGACUUUAGUGCCUUGUUGCAAACAGGAUACAUUUUUUUUGAAUAUUUUUAGUCUGUUGAGGCUUCCUUCUUUUCAUUCUAUAAUUUACGUUAGUAUUGUGGAGUAACUACAAUGUUGUUGAUCCAUCCUCAGUUUUCCCCUACACUAUAUAUACAAAAGUAUGUGGACACCCUUUCAAAUUAGUGCAUUCGGCUAUUUCAGCCACACCAGUUGCAGACAGGUAUAUACAUUUUAAAACACAGCCAUGCAAUCUCCAUAGGAAACAUUGGCAGUAGAAUGGCCUUACUGAAGAGCUCAGUGACUUUCAACGUGGUACUGACAUAGGAUGCCACCUUUUCAACAAGUCCGUUUGUCAAAUUUCUGCCCUGCCAGAGCUUCCCCGGUCAACUGUAAGUGUGGUUAUUGUGAAGUGGAACUGUCUAGGAGCAACAACGGCUCAGCCGUGAAGUGGUAGGCCACACAAGCUCACAGAAUGGGACCGCCGGGUGAUGAAGAGCGUCGAAAUCGUUUGUCCUCGGUUACAACACUCACUAACGAGUUCCAAACUGCCUCUGGAAGCAACAUCAGCACAAUAACUGUUUGUCGGGAGCUUCAUGAAAUGGGUUUCCAUGACCGAGCAGCUGCACACAAGCCUAAGAUCACCAUUCGCAAUACCAAGUGUCGGCUGGAGUGGUGUAAAGCUCCCCGCCAUUGGACUCUGGAGCAGUGGAAACGCCUUCUCUGGAGUGAUGAAUCACGCUUCACCAUCUGGCAGUCCGACG